rnacentral:antisense_RNA from 1 species
GCAGGCCUGUCCCUUUGCUUUCUUAAAACUGCGCACCGUCUGAGGCCACUUCGAGCCUACUGGAUCCCUGGUUCCGACCCAGUAGGAUCACAGAAGCAGGGCCAGCUGCCAGGAGAAAAAGUUGUUCUCUUCUACCAAAUUUUCCUGCCAUCAAAUGCUCAUCGAGUGACAAUAGAGAAAGCACCAUCAUCCUCAAGCAUCAGAUUGGGAGAAAAGUCCGCUCUCGAGAGCAUCAACUAUGUAGAAAGGGGACCAGCUUCUGCAAAAGACUUGAGACAGCUCACAAUGAAGUACUCUGUAUUAGGCAGGGUAAUAUUGAUUGCAAGUGACAGAAACCCAAUCAGAAACUCACUGGAGUCAUGAGGAACACUUAUUGGCUCAGAGUAAAGGCAUGGACCUUCAGAGAAAUAAAGUCUGGGAAAUUGACUAGAUCCUCACUGAAAGAACUACUAAAGGAUGUACUUAUGGAAGAAGAAAAUUACAAAGUGAAAGAACUGGGAUGCAAGAAGUAAUGGAAAUGACAAGCUAACUCUAAAGUUCAUAGGAAUGAAAAGCACGUAAAAUAGGCAAAUUCAUUUUGAAAAAGAAGAACAAAGUUGGAGGGCUAAGACGACCUGAUUUCAAAGUGCAAGGCUUCAAUAAUCAAGACAGUUUGAUACUGGCACGAAGAUACACAAAGAGAUAAUGACACAGACAUUAGGUCCAGAAGACAGUCCAGUAAUAGACUUUCACAUAUAUGGACAACAAAUUUUUGACAGUGCCAAGGCAAUUCAGUAGAGAAAGGAUAGUUU